rnacentral:rRNA from 1 species
UACGUAGGGUGCAAGCGUUAAUCGGAAUUCCUGGGCGUAAAGCGUGCGCAGGCGGCUAUGCAAGACAGAUGUGAAAUCCCCGGGCUCAACCUGGGAACUGCAUUUGUGACUGCAUGGCUAGAGUACGGUAGAGGGGGAUGGAAUUCCGCGUGUAGCAGUGAAAUGCGUAGAUAUGCGGAGGAACACCGAUGGCGAAGGCAAUCCCCUGGACCUGUACUGACGCUCAUGCACGAAAGCGUGGGGAGCAAACAGG